GGACUACCCGGGUAUCUAAUCCUGUUUGCUACCCACGCUUUCGUCUCUCAGCGUCAGUCGCGGUCCAGUAAGCUGUCUACACCACAGGUGUUCCUCCUGAUAUCUACGCAUUUCACCGCUACACCAGGAAUUCCGCUUACCUCUCCCGCACUCGAGCAUUCCAGUUUCCGGCGCACCCUCCCAGUUGAGCCGGGAGAUUUCACACCAGACUUAGAACACCGCCUACAGACUCUUUACGCCCAGUAAUUCCGAACAACGCUCGCUGCCUACGUAUUACCGCGGCGGCUGGCAC
rnacentral:rRNA from 1 species